UCUCUUUCUGGUACCCUGGGUUUGUGU
rnacentral:piRNA from 1 species